rnacentral:rRNA from 1 species
AUUGAACGCUGGCGGCAUGCUUUACACAUGCAAGUCGAACGGUAACAGGCCGCAAGGUGCUGACGAGUGGCGAACGGGUGAGUAAUACAUCGGAACGUGCCCAGUCGUGGGGGAUAACUACGCGAAAGCGUGGCUAAUACCGCAUACGAUCUACGGAUGAAAGCGGGGGACCGCAAGGCCUCGCGCGAUUGGAGCGGCCGGUGGCAGAUUCGGUAGUUGGUGGGGUAAAGGCCUACCAAGCCGACGAUCUGUAGCUGUUCUGAGAGGACGACCAGCAACACUGUGACUGAGACACGGCCCAGACUCCUACGGGAGGCAGCAGUGGGGAAUUGUGGACAAUGGGCGCAAGCCUGAUCCAGCCAUUCCGCGUGCAGGAUGAAGGCCCUCGGGUUGUAAACUGCUUUUGUACGGAACGAAACGGUGCUCUCUAAUACAGGGCGCUAAUGACGGUACCGUAAGAAUAAGCACCGGCUAACUACGUGCCAGCCGCCGCGGUAACAC